AUGAAGAGCCUGGCUGACAAGUGUGUGCAAGGCUACAACGAAGCUGAGAAGCGCAAGGCCUUUGGGCGUCCGGGCAUUGAUCCCAGGAUGGCUGCUAAGCAGAAGAAGAAGCCAAUUGGGGUCGAACCUCUCGCACCAAGGCAGGAAGUAGAUUCCAUUGUCUUCCCAACCAGCAUGACUGGCUUGAAGCCAAAAGCCCGGUCAACCGCUUCAGAGCUGAAGAAGACGAGGACUGCUGAGGCUGAAGCCAGGAAGAGAAAACAUACUGAAGCCUCUUCUACUGCCCCCACCAAGAAGAAGAGGAAGACCAAAAAAGAACGGGCUGCUCCCACAGAGCCUUUGAUUGUUGAACCCAUUUUCAUGGUUCGUCCUGACACUGAACGUCAACUGACAAUCCAUAAGCCUGCUUUCACAGAGGCUCAUGAAGCUGAAGACUUUCCAGCAGCUGAUCCCAUCGCUGCUGAAGACAUUGGUCAUCAUGACCAUGUUAAAGAUGAUGCAGUCCUUCCUCAGCUCGAACACCAACAGGUAUCAUCGCCUGUGCUAACGCACAGCAAACUCAUCAGCAUUGGUCGUCCUCUGAUGCCAAUUGCUCAGGAUGCUUCAUGGGCUGAUCGCCCACAAGAGAAAGAAAAUUUUAAGGCCCAGCCAACUCCAACUACACAGGCGUCGCCUGCGUUGCGCAGGCUUCGCAAAGGACCAAGGCCUCCAGUCUCUGCGUCUGAAGCUAAAGCUGCUGAAAAAAUUCCGGCUGCAUCAGCCGAUGAAGAAGAAGUCCCACAAGCUGCUACUCCCCUGUCCCACCAAGAAGAGGUUCUCGAGAAGAACGUGACUGUGACCGACCUUCCAGCUCGUCAAGUGGAGGUUGAAAAUCUUGAGGCUGCCACCACCAACAUCAAUGAAGCCACUGACAAAGCUAAUGUGAAGCCCUCACCAACAAAAGCACCAGAAGUCAGCGAAGCCACUGAUCCCACUGCUUUUGUUCCUGCGCCUGCUACCGGUCCUCAGUUCGACUAUCAUGUUGAGCAUAGACCUCAGGUACAGAAGCCCAUCCUAAGAUUGCCCAGGUUCUCAGGUCCUGCAUCAGCACCUGGAUUCUUCAAUAUCAAUGACUUCAGAGCAGACAACACAUUCUUUAGUAGCUCUAGGAACCCCUACUCAAGGGAAAGAAUAUCAUCUGAUCGGUUCUGGAGCUAUCCGCAGCGAAGCUAUUACUUCUGCAUUCUAUACAAUCAAGGUCGCAUCUUCCCACACAAGCGCCUUGACAUUGAAGCAAUAGCUGGUCUGCCAUGUCUGGAAGAAGCUCUGGAUUGCUUCAAAGAGGUUGGAUUGCUGCCGUUCGUCACUGACCAAGAGCAUUGGAAUGAAAAAUUGUUGCUCCAAUUCUAUGCCACACUUCACAUCCGCGGGUAUAACAGAGAUCCGAAGACUUGGGUCCUGAAGUGGAUGACAGAAAAUGUUCAUCACGAAGCCAAAGCCUUUGACAUCAUUGAGCUCACUGGUCUACCCACUCCUGGCGAUCUCUACGAAUCUGGCUGUCAACUUCACAGUGAAGCUGUGGAGAGCAUCUUUCAGAAGCCUGAACCUAACAUGAGUCGGAUGCUCGGUAUGAUGAAGCCAUUGUCCCAAGAUGCUGAAUAUCCCAAAGAGUUCUUUGUUGAAGACCUUAAGUAUCUGACAAGAACUAUUUAUCACAUCAUAAGGCGAACUCUCUGGCCCAUCAAAGGACACUCUCCACAUGCCAAGCUAGAAGGUGCAAUGAAGACUUUGGUCUUCUAUAUUCUUCAUGGCAAAUGCUUCAAUGCACAGCACUUCUUCAUUCGCCAACUUGCUGCAUCAGGCUCUAAUCUAUUUGGCUUGAAGUUCUACGUCCCAUGGGUAAUGCGGCUGAUCAAACUUCACUCCGCUAUCUCAUAUCAGCCAUCUGCUCGCAAUCAUCAGAUCUUUCUGCCUGAUGUGGAUAUGUCUAUUGAAGCCAUCUAUCCUGAGCCUGCCAAGGAACCUCUAAGUCUUUAG
rnacentral:rRNA from 1 species